rnacentral:rRNA from 1 species
UACGUAGGGGGCUAGCGUUAUCCGGAAUUACUGGGCGUAAAGGGUGCGUAGGUGGUUUCUUAAGUCAGAGGUGAAAGGCUACGGCUCAACCGUAGUAAGCCUUUGAAACUGAGAAACUUGAGUGCAGGAGAGGAGAGUAGAAUUCCUAGUGUAGCGGUGAAACGCGUAGAUAUUAGGAGGAAUACCAGUUGCGAAGGCGGCUCUCUGGACUGUAACUGACACUGAGGCACGAAAGCGUGGGGAGCAAACAGGAUUAGAUAUCCCCGUAGUCCCUGAGCGGG